GGGGCUGAUUCUGGAUUCGACGGGAUUUGCGAAACCCAAGGUGCAUGCCGAGGGGCGGUUGGCCUCGUAAAAAGCCGCAAAAAAUAGUCGCAAACGACGAAAACUACGCUUUAGCAGCUUAAUAACCUGCUUAGAGCCCUCUCUCCCUAGCCUCCGCUCUUAGGACGGGGAUCAAGAGAGGUCAAACCCAAAAGAGAUCGCGUGGAAGCCCUGCCUGGGGUUGAAGCGUUAAAACUUAAUCAGGCUAGUUUGUUAAUGGCGUGUCCGUCCGCAGCUGGCAAGCGAAUGUAAAGACUGACUAAGCAUGUAGUACCGAGGAUGUAGGAAUUUCGGACGCGGGUUCAACUCCCGCCAGCUCCACCA
rnacentral:tmRNA from 1 species